GACGAACGCUGGCGGCGUGCUUAACACAUGCAAGUCGAACGGAAAGGCCUGCUUUCCCUUGUGGAUUGCGGGUACUCGAGUGGCGAACGGGUGAGUAACACGUGAGUGAUCUGCCCCCAACUUGGGUAUAAGCCUGGGAAACUGGGUCUAAUUCCCGAUAGGACUGCAGGGUGGUGCCUGUGGUGGAAAACGAUUUUCUAGUGGUUGGGGAUGAGCUCGCGGCCUAUCAGCUUGUUGGUGGGGUAAUGGCCUACCAAGGCGGCGACGGGUAGCCGGCCUGGGAGGGUGGACGGCCACAUUGGGACUGAGAUACGGCCCAUACUCCUACGGGAGGCAGCAGUGGGGAAUAUUGCACAAUGGGCGGAAGCCUGAUGCAGCGACGCCGCGUGGGGGAUGACGGCCUUCGGGUUGUAAACUCCUUUCGACCGCGAGGAAGCCACCUGGUUGGAAGGGUGGUGACGGUAGUGGUAGAAGAAGCACCGGCUAACUACGUG
rnacentral:rRNA from 1 species